rnacentral:lncRNA from 1 species
GAGAGUGCAAAAUGGAGAACCUGUUGUAGUGCGAAAUGGAGAGGCUGUUGGAGUGGAUGGAUAGUGUAUAUUUUUAGAGAGGAAACUAGUUGUUGGGAUUUGUAGAGUGAGAAAUGGAUAGUAUGUUGGAAUGAGAAACUCAAUAUGGAUAAUUUUUUUUACCAACUUAUAUAUAGAGUUAAAUGGAGAGAAAAAAUGGGUAGUUUGUUGGAGACGCUCUAAAGGCGCUGUUUCAAAAAUAUUCAUACACGUUUUUUUCCGUUCCGUCUCACCAUGUAUUCGAACAAAGCCGUGUGAGGCCCAAGCCCAACUCCCAAGCAGCAAGCACAGCAACGGAAGAAGCGAGCCCAACCAACGUCCACACAACUCUCGAGUUAAUUGUUAGGAAAGCUUCCAAUGUGCACGUUGUGUUAUCCUUAACUGCUACAAAUUGUAUGUCAU